UCGCGUCAAGCGCCGCGGGCAGGAGCGGGGGACCCAAGGUAAGUGCCGCUGCGGACUGCUGACGGAGCGGCUUGGGGUGAAGCCGUGCCUGGCGCAAGCCGUGUCUUGCGCGAGGAGCACGGCCGGGCAACCCAACCGGCCCGAACCCGACAGCUCACCUCGCAGGCGUCGGUGAGGGGAUCC
rnacentral:sRNA from 2 species